rnacentral:rRNA from 1 species
UACGAAGGGGGCUAGCGUUGCUCGGAAUUACUGGGCGUAAAGGGCGCGUAGGCGGCCCACAUAGUCAGGCGUGAAAUUUCUGGGCUCAACCUGGGGGCUGCGCUUGAUACGUGUGGGCUUGAGGACAGGAGAGGCUCGUGGAAUUCCCAGUGGUAGAGGUGAAAUUCGUAGAUAUUGGGAAGAACACCGGUGGCGAAGGCGGCGAGCUGGCCUGUAACUGACGCUGAGGCGCCGACAGCGUGGGGGAGCAAACAGG